rnacentral:rRNA from 1 species
UACAGAGGGUGCGAGCGUUGUCCGGAAUCAUUGGGCGUAAAGAGCGCGUAGGCGGUCCGGUAAGUCCGCUCUGAAAGUCCGGGGCUCAACCCCGGGAGGCGGGCGGAUACUGUCGGGCUAGAGUCCGGAAGAGGCGAGUGGAAUUCCUGGUGUAGCGGUGAAAUGCGCAGAUAUCAGGAGGAACACCGGUGGCGAAGGCGGUUCUCUGGGCCUGUACUGACGCUGAGGAGCGAAAGCGUGGGGAGCGAACAGG